AUUGAACGCUGGCGCCAGGCUUAACACAUGCAAGUCGAGCGAGUGGCGGACGGGUGCGUAAUGCCUGGGCAUCUGGCUUAUGGAGGGGGAUCACUACGGGAAACUGUAGCUAAUACCGCAUACCAUCGGAUGCUCACAAGUGGGAUUAGCUAGUUGGUGGGGUAAAGGCUCACCAAGGCGACGAUCGCUAGCUGGUCUGAGAGGAUGACCAGCCACACUGGGACUGAGACACGGACCAGACGCCUACGGGAGGGAGCAGUGGGGAAGAGUGCGCAAUGGGGGCAAGCCUGACACAGCCAUGCCGCGUGAAUGAAGAAGGCCUUCGGGUUGUAAAGAACUUUCGUGAGGGAGGCGUUAAUUGCAGAAGAAGCACCGGCUAACUCCGUGCCAGCAGCCGCGGUAAUAC
rnacentral:rRNA from 1 species